GCGCCCGCGGCUCGGUCGUAAAAGGGCCCCACCCCCCCCCCACCCCGGCGGCGAGCGCAGGCUGACGGUUGCUAGGGACUGUAAGGGUGACACGUCUCUGUCCCCGGGCCUGCGUGGGCCUUGGGGGGGACACGGCGGGUAGGUCGGGCUCCCGUCGUCCUGCUCCCGUCCCUUGGCCCCGCCGGCGACGGCAGAGAGGCAGUGAGAUCCUGCAAGCCGGCGGCAACCGGCUCGGGAUGGAGUCACCGGGAGCCGAGCAGGAAGGCAGUUAAAAAUAGCAGGAAGCCUCAGUCUCCAGAAGUGUGUGGCUGCUGCCCACGUGUGGAAAGUGAAGGUUACGUAAGUCCCCUCCGUGUGCACGCUGGAGGAGCGUUAGCUGGGACACCCGCCCGAGCCGGUGUCGAGGCUCAGAGCCGCGCCCCCGGACGUGGCGGGUGCAGGAGUGCAGAGCGAGUUGAGCUGACGGAAAUGAAAAGGCCUGGGUGUGCCUCAGUUCAAGACAACGCUGAGUUCCCGUAGCAGGAAGCCACAGGGGCACCUUGGGUUCCAAGGACUCAGUCUCAGUGGGACUGGUUUCUAAACGAAACAAAAUCAGGGAAGCUGAUGUUUGCCAGCUGAACUGUGAUGUAGGAGUGUGGCUGACCUGGCCAGCUGACCCAGUGCCUGGAAGCUGAGGCUGGAGGAGCCAUCCACGGCUGCAGCACUCAGACUGAGUUCCCAGUACCAUUUCCACAACCGGGAAGCUUCCAACCCCAGGUCCCUCCUACUGAAAUAAUGAAGUAAUGGGGGGAGAGGAAAGGAGAAGGAGAGGAGGAGGAGGAGGAGGAAGAGGAGGAGGAGGAAGAAGGGGUCGAUAGCUGUACCAUUGUAGACCCUAUAGGAUCUCUCUGGUAUCCUGGAUUUCAGGAAGGUAAACAGCACAAGUAUAUGCAUCACAUCGUGUACCUGUGUUGUCUGGAACUGAACCUUAUACACCUGGGAGUGAAACUUUCUGUGUUCCCAGGAUGACCAAGGACAGUCAGAGACCAUCAGUUGCUUUCCCACAGGGUCAAGCUUGCUGCUGUAAUGCAAAUUAUAUUGGUAAGCUGCCAUAUGCUAUUACAACUUGUUGAAAGUGGACUCUUGGAUCAAGGGGCCCUUCCUUGUUUCCUGUAAGCCCUCCUGUCCUGGGCCAGGCUGUCCAGGAGAAGGAACACCGGCAAGCAGCUAAGGACAUUGACAACAUUGAAUCUUUGAGAACAGCCAGAAGGGGGACCGUUUCCAGCAAGGUUUACCACGGUACAAAAAUGCCUGAAGAGGGAACGAGAAGCAGGAUGCUCAUCCAUGGAGAGAAAGCCCUGACGUGGGAACAACAGCCAGCCACCUCAGCUUCCUCGGGAUUCCUGCUGGUCGCCUCCCGUGAUCUCUGCAGGGGACUUCGGAAAAUGCAGAGGACGUGGAAAAGGCAGGCCCAGGGGCUCCCAGGAGCCUGUUCCCGGGCCAUGCCACGCCACGCCACACCACACCACGCCACGCCACGCCGGACUGCAGUGGCUUGUGGUCUCUGCAGCACUGCUCUACCUGGUUUGGAAGGGGUGGUGUCACAAGUCACAGUGACACGGUGACCCCUGUUACAUCACAUCCAAGUGGAUCCUGUCUCUCGAAACUGUGAAAACCAAGCACUCCCCAAGCUGUGCUCUCUCCCUUCACUGGCUUUAGAAACCAGCUCCUGCUCAGCACGGCUUUGCAUGGUUUUUCUCCUCUUCCAGAGGCACUGUCUCCCUCUCUCUGCUCUCCCUCUCUCAUUUCUGCUCUCCCCGCUCUUUUCCCUCCCUCUUUCUUCUCUCUUUCCUCCCAGCACCCAAAGAAUAAGCUAUGCUCUUUCAUGGCUUUCACGUCUACGGUUUGAAACCGCAUAGGCACACUACCACUUCCCCCUUUCCAAAGAAAGGAACAGAGCUAGGGUGCCAGGAUGGAACCCAUGCUCAUGGUCUGGGCCAACUCUGCUUCUACCUCUGGGUUCUAACAUUUCAGAGGUAAUUCUUUUAAUCACAUCGAAAAAGAAACCAUUAUUUUAGGGAAAAUUUAAUACUAGUAAUGCUUUCAACACAGUGUAAAACUAAUCUUUUAUGUACCAUGAUAUGAUUUCCUAGAGACAUUUUCACUGUGUACACUGUGCCAAGGAAAUUGUUUCUGAAGGUGACAUGCAUCUCAUCAUCAUGACAGUUAGUGCCUUCGCUGGUGCCAGACAGUCAAUGGUAAGCCUGGGAGAGUGACUGCAACUGACUUUGAGAUGGGACAGAGACAGGCAGCCCCCCCCCCACACACACAUACACACACACACACACACACACACACACACACACACACACACACACAGAGAUUUUAUGCAUGUGCCCAGAUGUGUAUGUGUGUGCAUGUGUUUACGUGUGUAUGUAUGUGUGUAUGUGCGUAUGUGUAGAUGCAUUGAUGUCCGUGUGUAGGUAUGUAGGCAUGGAUAGUUGUGUAUACAUUCACGUAUCUAUACGCAUGUGUCUAUAGGCCUACAUGUGUUGUCUCUGAAUGAGCAUUUCUGAUGGUAUGUAUGGGUGUGUGCAUGUCUGAGUUUAUGUGUGCAUAUACACAUAUAUGCAUGCGUGGUAUAUACUGUCUUAGGUGUGUAUGAAUGAGUGCGUAUGCAGAUGUGCACAGAGGAGUAUGUUUGGACAAGGUGAGCGUGUAUGUGUGUGUGUGUGUGUGUGUGUGUGUGUGUGUGUGUGCAGCUGUGUGUGUGCAGCUGUGUAUUGCAGCUGUGUGUGUGUGAGCAGCUGUGUGUGUGUGUGCAGCUGUGUGUGUGCAGCUGUGUGUGUGUGAGCAGCUGUGUGUGUGUGUGCAGCUGUGUGUGUGUGUGCAGCUGUGUGUGUGCAGCUGUGUGUACAGCUGUGUGUGUGCAGCUGUGUGUGUGUGCAGCUGUGUGUGUGUGCAGCUGUGUAUAUACAGCUGUGUGCAGUCUGUAAAUCAAGUUCCAGACAUGUGCUGGGCACUGAGGUCACUCCGGGAACAAACAGCAUGCCAGUGUCCUAGCAGACAGCCCACCUGGACUAUGAGCAGUGCUGAACUCCCCCAUUGCCUGCCACCCAACAUCUGGGUCACUUUGCCAGGCAGUUCCCAUAAGACCUUCAACAAUAAGUUUAGUUAAAGCUUCUUCCAUCAAGUGUUCUCUACUGCUAGGUUUAGUACGUUUUAAGUUCACAGGAACCACAGGCAUGCCGGCUUCUCCCCUCUGUCGACCUCAGUGCAGCUGAAGUGCUACCCAGCUUCCUUCUGCUUUUGAGCUGGUGGGUAGGAAGAACCCAGAAGGUAUUUUCCAGUGAUUUGCUUUCGGGUUUGGCAGCUCACUUUUAUACUGUAUUUUGUUGUUGUUGUUGUUGUUCACUUUGUUUUUAGAGGCCAGGUCUCACUAUUUGACAUAUGGGGGAGUUGUACCCAUAAUCCUUUUUUUAAUCUACUGAAUUCUGGGAACACAGUCUGAUUCUAUAUGCACAGCUAAUAUUUCCUUAUUUAUUGCAGGAAUUAAAUCUUUAAGCAUUUCAAGAGUAGCUGUGAUGCAGAUUUUGCGUCUGUUCCGUAUUUAGGGUGCUGGUCUCCACAACGUCCUGCCCACAGCUGUGCAUUGCCUAAAUCUCUUGCAGCUCUGUGUCUUAACUUAGUACUUGGCUUCUCAAAGUUUCUCUGUGUACUGAGUUAAAUAAAGAAUUGUAUUUUUAGGGGUCCA